AUUGAACGCUGGCGGCAUGCCUUACACAUGCAAGUCGAACGGCAGCACGGGUGCUUGCCCCUGGUGGCGAGUGGCGAACGGGUGAGUAAUACAUCGGAACAUGUCCUGUAGUGGGGGAUAGCCCGGCGAAAGCCGGAUUAAUACCGCAUACGAUCUACGGAUGAAAGCGGGGGACCUUCGGGCCUCGCGCUAUAGGGUUGGCCGAUGGCUGAUUAGCUAGUUGGUGGGGUAAAGGCCUACCAAGGCGACGAUCAGUAGCUGGUCUGAGAGGACGACCAGCCACACUGGGACUGAGACACGGCCCAGACUCCUACGGGAGGCAGCAGUGGGAAUUUUGGACAAUGGGCGAAAGCCUGAUCCAGCAAUGCCGCGUGUGUGAAGAAGGCCUUCGGGUUGUAAAGCACUUUUGUCCGGAAAGAAAUCCUUGGCUCUAAUACAGUCGGGGGAUGACGGUACCGGAAGAAUAAGCACCGGCUAACUACGUG
rnacentral:rRNA from 1 species